CCGGAAGAACUUUUUGGUGUUGCGACAAGGUGCUGGUGUAAACGGUUACCAAUAUCAAUUUCAUCGUUAGAGUUUUACUUUAGACGUUUAUUGACACCCUGUAAUUCAAAAUGUGAAUAAUUUAACUGUAUAACAAUAUAUACAUACCCCAUGUAGUGUUUAAUUCGCGUUUGAGACAGGACUUGCUUGAAAUGUUAUCAAGGUAACGCUAGCUAGCUGCUUAGCUAACAAUGGCUAACUGUAUGGUUUUUCACACUCAAAUAGCCUCCAUUAUGGAGGUGCUAGCGAAUGCAGCCGUGUCAGAGAUCUGUAAACUCGUAGACGACGACUAUGCAGUGUUUCGUUUGGAAAUAACUCAAAGCCAGAAAGAAAACCGGGCUCUGCGGAGGAAACUACAGCUACUGGAACUAAAGGGGUCACGGGAGCGCAUCCUCGCAAGUCGUCCCAGAAGUGUCAAGAUCCUCGACCGAUACAGAGGAAUGGGAAGAGGUGAAGGACAUCUCACUGGAGGCCACAGGAGCUUUGUUAAACCAGCGGGACACAAUACAUGGAGAGUUGACCAAUCAAUCACUGUUGAUGAGGGGAGUGGAAUCUCAACCCAGCACCCUAUCAUGAUAGAGUCUGCAGGUCCUGGGGUCAAGCAUGAGAGGUCUGAACGAGAGCCACAACACAUUAGAGACAUCCAGACUGUAGCAGCGGUUGGAGUGAUGCCCCCUGUAGACACUGAGGGCCUUGCCACCGCCGUGCCCCAGCCCAGGACCCGAAGCAGCAUCACGGAGGAGGAGGAGGGUCCAGAGGUGCUGCUGGUGAAGGAGGAGGGGUGUGAGGAGAGUCUGGGGAACCCUGAGGGGACCAUGGUCAUGGAGGACAACCAGACUACACCUCCUCCUGAAACCACAGAGGAACCAACUGAGCAGCACAGGACCACAUGCAGUCUCACUGAGUCAGUAGACAUGGAGGAUGGGAAGCCUGACCUGCUGCUGGUCAAAGAGGAGACAAUAGAAGAAGGACCAGAGAUCAUUGAUCUGCUGAGUGGACUAAAGAUGGGGGUGCAAGGUGGUUGGCUGGAGGCUAACAGAGGAGACUGGGCUGCCAUCUUGGAUUCACAGACCCAGACUGGUGCACCCAAGGGCACAGGGGACAACAUCACUGAGCAGGCCAGGACCAGAGGUGACAUAGUGGAGAUCAGUGGAUGGGACAGUGUCCUCAACUCUGGAGUGGGGAGCAACACCUUGAACAAAAACCAGAAACAGACAGUCGAACACAAAACGACAACCAAACUCAGUCUCCAUGACAACAGACUGGCUGAGACCAGGGCAAGGUGUAGAUUUGGUCUGCAGGGACCGGGAGGUGUCCUUAUGCGGCGGGAGAGAACAGACACGGACUCGGCUAGCGAUGCUCCGUCCUGCUCCUAUAGUUGUGAUUCAGAGAGACUGAUGGUGCCUCAGGUUAACCCCCUAACAGGUGCAGCCUUCAGUCUGCCUUCUGUAGGAUCUAUCAACUGGAACAUGGACCCUGCGACAACACAGACACUCCCUGGCAUUUGUCCUCCUCACAGUCUCCUAAUGUUAAACCAGACCUCAGACAAUGCCAGUGGCUCAACACUAAAUGGCUACACAAGCCCAUUGACAAAUGACAGUAGUAGUCACGCUAUCAGCAGAUCUGGUGGCAAAGAGAAGCGCUUCCAGUGUUCGUUCUGUGGGAAAGCCUUCAGUUUCCCCAAACAGGUGGAGAUCCACCAGAGGAUGCACACGGGGGAGAAACCAUUCAGCUGUCAUCUUUGCCGGGCCAGUUUCUCCCAGUUGUCCAACCUCAAGAGGCACCAGAGGGUUCACACUGGAGAGAAGCCUUACAGCUGCCCCCAGUGUGAGAAGAGGUUCUCCCACCAGCACCAUCUGAAGAUACACCUGAAGGUCCACAUGGGGGAAAGGGUGUUCUCGGAGAGGAGUUAUCUCAGGAUACACCAGCAGAAAAUGCACACGGACAACGUAUAGCCACGUGAGCUUUGUGAAGCCAGCAGGACACAAUACAUGGAGAGAUGACCAGCCAAUCAUUGUUGAUGAGGGGAGUGGAACCUCAACCCAGCAUGUUAUUGUGAUAGAGUCUGCAGAUGCUGCAGGUCCUGGGGUCAAGCAGGAGAGUUCUGAAGGAGAGGAUGACCCACGGCACAUCCAAACUGGAGUGCCUCCUGUAGCCAUGGAGGACCCCACCGCCCCAGCGGCACCAAGGACCCGACGCAGCAUCACGGAGGUUGGUGGAACACUGAAUGCCACCCUUAAGUCAGAGACAGACACCAAGAAUUUAACAGGUCUGGGGCGAUUGGGCUGUCCUCCUGCUCUCCGCUCAGAAUAUUUACUUGAUGGUAACCCAAGCCCGAGGAUGGAUCUGUCCCAUCGGGACUUAGGUGACACAUUACAGACUAGCAAUGAUCCGUCCUGGUCAUACGCUACAGAGAUGAUACCUGGUGACAUGCCAGUCAUCUUAGAUACACAGACUAAUCCAAUGAGAGGGGACUGGAACCGGUAUAGUAGUAGUGUAUACCCUGAAGGGUGCCUAGAUAAGAAAGGGGAGGUUAUAGUGGUAGAUGAGGUGACUGUGAAAGUGGAGGGUGCUGCUCCUCUGACGUGGAAUGCAGACAAGACUCACUUAGGAGAAGGCCACUCACAGGGCAACACCAGUGACUUCUUAGACUGCAGGGAAAGCUUAGAGACAAAUCUAACUGUUGCAACCCACUCCCCUUUACACACGCUCAGGGAUCACGACCCACUGUCCACGCUGAUGUCACCUUCCGAUUCACAAUACCUUUUCGAUCAGGUAUUGAACUCAAACGACAGGGCUAGAGUCCAGGCUCGGGGAGGGGGAGCCACAUCAGGCAAUAGCAAAGAGAAACGGUUCCUCUGCAUGUUCUGUAACAAAGGCUUCAGCAGCUCCCAGAAGGUGGAGAUCCACCAGAGGGUCCACACAGGGGAGAAACCAUACAGCUGUACCCAGUGUCAUAUGCGCUUCACCCAGGCUGGUGACCUGAAGAGGCACCAGAGGGUCCACACAGGGGAGAAAUCCUACAGCAACCCUCAAGUGUGAGAAGAGGUUCUCCCACCAGCACCAACUGAACAUGCACUUAAGUCCACACGGGGGAAAGGCCAUUUGCCUGUAUGCACUACGGGAAGAGGUACUCCGAGGAUACACCAGCAGAAAAAACAUUCCACAAAUUGACCUAGAAAUGAACCAUUCGACUCGAUAGCUUCUGACGUUUAGAUCAAACCCUGCAUUAAAGACAAAUAUAAAUGUUAAUAGGUGUCAGCAGAAAAGCUCCACAUAUGCAUUUGGAAUAACAGAUUUCAGUGUUGAAUACUCCUGGGUAGAACAUUGCAUCCAGACAUGAUAUAAGCCUAAAAGUCGGUUUCAUGGUGUUUGUACUGUGUAGGAUAUGAUGUUCAACUACCUAAUGUUUUUCCCAAGACACUUUUAAUGAGAAAAUGAAUGCAGUUUAUCAAGUUCAUUCUGAUUUUUAGUUGAGACGUAUGUGUGGUUUUAUAUGGUGUAUUUAAAAUGUAUGUUUAAUAAUCACAAAAUGGGGCUUUUCAUUAAUUGAGACUCUCUUUAGUAUAUAUCACAUCUGCUCUCAACCUAGUCUUAAAACACCAGGCAGCGCUUUAUAACCAAUACACAUGUUUAAAAAUAAUAUAUUUUUUUAAAUUAAAAAGCCAUUCGGCAUGCUUGAAUGGACGCGUUUUUGAAUAGCCAUUUUUACAUGGUCCUUCAUAUCGCUAGAUUCUGACUCAGCUACAGUUAAGAUGUUCCAUUACCCAAAAGAGGCUUAAAUGUUGCUCAGAUGAGUUACCCUGCCCUCCUAAGCCAUAUGAGGCUGUUGUCACCACCCGCAACACAAGGACGAAGCUGUCGAGUCCCAGAAAAUGAACAGCGAGGCCUUACACACCUCUCUCAUCACACAGUCAACCAUUGGUCAGGUAGUGACCAACCUCCCCAGCUGGGACCUGCCCCGUAAGAGAGAAGAGAUCAGGAGGAAAGAGCUGUCAAACAUAUGGCACGCAGCUAUACAUUUGUUGUAUCACUUUCUUCUAUAUAUUUUUUUGGGGGGUGGAGGGGAAACAAAUGCAUAAUACAUUAAAAUGACUCAAACCAAAUCGAAACUGUAAAAAUGAUAAUUGACUUACAUUUACAGUGCAUUCAGAAAGUAUUCAGACCCCUUGACUUUACACAUUUUGUUGAGUUACAGCUUUAUUCUAAAAUUGAUUAAAUUGUUUUUUUUCCCUCUCAAUCUACACACAAUACCCCAUAAUGACAAAGCAAAAACAGGUUUAGACAUUUUUGCACGUUUAUUAAGAAUAAAAAACAGAUAUGUAA